AAGAAAGAACAAAGAAAAUAGAUAUAUGACAUAUGGUAGAUUGUUAAUAUUAUUGUGUUGCCUAAUAACAGACCAUAUAAAACGCAAGCACACAUCAAAGGGAAAAGAAAAAGAACACAAGAUACAGUUCCAAUACACAAGUAUAUCUCAUGAUAAACCUAACCGGUGUUUAUUUUCAUGUUAACAAAACUUAAUUUAGU
rnacentral:lncRNA from 1 species